rnacentral:ncRNA from 1 species
AAUAAAUUUUUUAUGGUUUAAAAAUUUUAUUUUAAAUUUAUUUUACAUAUAAAUUUUAGUGUUAAUUUUUAUUUAUUUAGAUAAUAAAUAAUUUUUUAUGUAGUAAUUAAUUUUAAAAAUUUAAGUAAUUAAGAUUUAGUAAUAUAUUAAUUAAUAACUAAUUUUGUGCCAGCAGUUGCGGUUAUACAAAAAUUGAUUUAAAAUUUUUUAGUAAUUAAAUAAUAAAUUUAAUUAAAUAAUUUAAAAUUUAAAUUAUUAGGUGAAAUUUUAAUUUAUAGAAAAAUUAUUUAGAAAUUAUGAUUUAAUAAAUUUAAUAAAAAACUAGGAUUAGAUACCCUAUUAUUAAAAUUUAAAUUAUUAUACUAAAAUAGUAGGUAAUUUUUUAUUGAAACUUAAAUAAUUUGGCGGUAUUUUAGUUUAUUUAGAGGAAUCUGUUUAAUAAUUGAUAAUCCACGAAUAAAUUUACUUAAUUUAAAAUUUUGUAUAUCGUUGUUAAAAAAAUAUUUUUUAAUAAAAAUAAUAUUUAAAAAUUUAAAUUUAAAAUUAAAUCAGAUCAAGAUGCAGAUUAUAAUUAAGAAUAUAAUGGAUUACAAUAAAUUUAUUUUAUUUGGAUAUUAAUAUGAAAUAAUUAAUUGAAAUUGGAUUUAAAUGUAAUUUUAUUUAAUUUAAUAAAAUGAUUUUUUAUUAAAAUAUGUACAUAUUGCCCGUCGCUUUCAUUUAUAAAUUGAAAUAAGUCGUAACAAAGUAGAGGUACUGGAAAGUGUUUCUAGAAAGAA